rnacentral:rRNA from 1 species
GACGAACCGUGCGAACGUUAUUCGGAAUCACUGGGCUUAAAGGGCGCGUAGGCGGGCUCGUAAGUCAGGGGUGAAAUCCCACGGCCCAACCGUGGAAGUGCCUCUGAUACUGCGGGCCUCGAGGGGGAUAGGGGCGUGCGGAACUCAGGGUGGAGCGGUGAAAUGCGCAGAUAUCGGGAGGAACACCAGUGGCGAAGGCGACUACCUGGCCUGUUCUUGACGCUGAGGCGCGAAAGCUAGGGGAGCAAACGGG